rnacentral:rRNA from 1 species
CCUACGGGGGGCAGCAGUGGGGAAUAUUGCACAAUGGGGGGAACCCUGAUGCAGCAAUGCCGCGGGGGUGAAGAAGCACUCCGGUGCGUAAAGCCCUGUCAGCAGGGAAGAAAAUGACAGUACCUGGACAAGAAGCCCCGGCUAACUACGUGCCAGCAGCCGCGGUAAUACGUAGGGGGCAAGCGUUAUCCGGAUUUACUGUGUGUAAAGGGAGCGCAGGCGGCGUGGCAAGUCAGAUGUGAAAACCCGGGGCUCAACUUUGGGACUGCUUUUGAAACUGAGUAGCUAGAGUGCAGGAGAGGUAAGCGGAAUUCCUAGUGUAGCAGUGAAAUGCGUAGAUAUUAGGAGGAACAGCAGUGGCGAAGGCGGCUUACUGGACUGUAACCGACGUUGAGGCUCGAAAGCGUGGGGAGCAAACAGGAUUAGAUACCCGAGUAGUC